GCCUGGCAGGCUCAGUCAGUAGAGCGUGUGACUCUUGAUCUCGGGGGGGUGUGAGUUCAAGCCUCAUGCUGGGCA
rnacentral:tRNA from 1 species